rnacentral:rRNA from 1 species
ACCACCGCAGCAGGUCUCCGGGGUCAGCAGCCUCUAGCGCGGGAGCGAACGCGGCUCAGGGAAGUCGGCAAGCCGGCUCCGUAACCUCGGGAAAAGGAGUGGCUCUGACGGCGCGCCGGGUCAGAACUGGAACGGACGCGGGGAUCCCGACUGUUUACUAGAAACAUAGCGUCGCGAGGGCCGCACCCGGCGCUGGCGCGACGUGAUUUCUGCCCAGUGCCACGACAGUCACCGUGAAGAGAUCCGCCCAAGCCCUGGUAAACGGCGGGAGUAACUAUGACUCUCUUAAGGUAGCCAAAUGCCUCGUCGGGCAAUUUCCGACGUGCAUGAAUGGACCAACGAGGAUCCCACUGUCCCGAGCCGCGCCUCCGCGAACCUCCAGACUCGGGAACGGGCGAGUGCCGGCCAGCGGGGCAAGAAGACCCUUUUGAGCUUGACUCCAGCCCGGGCCUGUGGGGCGGGGCGGCCGGCGCAGCGCACAGGGGAGGCCGCGCCCCUGAGACACCCUGACGGCCGCCGCCGCCCCGCUCACCCGGUCGCGCGGGGACCCGCCCGGGCGGGGAGUUUGGCUGGGGCGGCGCGCCUGCUACACCGGACCGCAGGCGUCCCACGGCGGGCUCAGCGAGGACGGAAACCUCCCGCGGAGCAGAAGGGCACAAGCCCGCCCGACCCGCGCCCCCCGUGCCGGCGCGGGCCGCGAAAGCGGGGCCUACCGAUCCUUCGCCGCCCGGGCCGCGGGCGCGGAGGUGACAGAAAAGUUACCACAGGGAUAACUGGCUUGUGGCCGCCGAGCGCCCGCAGCGACGCGGCUUUUUGAUCCUUCGAUGUCGGCUCUUCCUACCGUCCGCGCGCACCGGCGCGGAAGCGUCGGAUUGUUCACCCGUUCAAGGGAUCGUGAGCUGGGUUUAGACCGUCGUGAGACAGGUUAGUUUUACCCUACUGGCCCCGGGGCCAGAGCACGGCGGGCCAGUACGAGAGGAACGCCCGCCGCGGGCCGCCAGCCCCGCGGUUGCCCGGCCGGGCAGCGCCGCGCCGC